CAGCAGCCGCGGGAAUACGAAGGGUGCAAGCGUUACUCGGAAUUACUGGGCGUAAAGCGUGCGUAGGUGGUGGUUUAAGUCCGUUGUGAAAGCCCUGGGCUCAACCUGGGAAUUGCAGUGGAUACUGGGUCACUAGAGUGUGGUAGAGGAUAGUGGAAUUUCCGGUGUAGCAGUGAAAUGCGUAGAGAUCGGAAGGAACAUCUGUGGCGAAGGCGGCCAUCUGGGACAACACUGACGCUGAGGCACGAAAGCGUGGGGAGCAAACAGGAUUAGAUACCCCUGUAGUCCCUGUCUCUUAUAU
rnacentral:rRNA from 1 species